CUGUGUUACCAUUGUAUUGUUUUUUUCAUGCUGUUGCAGCUGGGGUGCAAGGUCCAUAACUAGUUUCACAACAUGAGAUGGGUAUGGGAAAAUAGCUAGAUGGAUUUGAAAGAGGAACCACAAAUAAAAGAAACUUGCAUCCAUCUUGAAACAUACUUGGAGAGAACUCAGAUAUUUGAUAACUAGCUCAGUGCUUCAUUGUUGUGGGUACUUCAAUGUGUUCCAUUAGCAGCACAGUCAUAAUUGAGAAAGUAAGACUGAUCAAAAGGUUUUUGACCACUCACUGUUCGUCUCUAGACUUUGUCCAUGUGAUUCAUAUCUUUAUCAUAGUAUGGACUCGGCUUUUGAAGCGUGGCAGCUGUGGCCUUACAGUCUUGAGUAGUGAAGUGUUACAUGCAACUCUUGACAGGUAAGAAGACAGUCAUGGUCCUCUCAUUAGGAAGAAAGAGACGGUACUACAGAACAAAGCUUCUCAGACUGAAAAUAUCUGGUUAGAUCAAUUCUACUAAUGACAAAGGAAGAGCCCCUUAUGGAAAAGCAGCACAUUACAGAACUCUGAUAACAUUUAAGUGUGUGUUGUUGUUGUUUGUUGUUUGUUUUGUAUUGUUUUUUCUUUAUCCAGGCUAAAAAAAAUAUAAAAAACCCUAACUUUGCAAUGCAACUCAUGCUAUCACGUAUAUCAUAUUUGUCCUGUAGAUCAUAUCUAUCCUGUGCGUGAAGUAGCUGGCACUUAGACCCCAUUGUUUUCAGUAAUUCACCAGAUAAAUUCAGUAACUGAAAAUGAGGGAGCUGUGAAACUGGGGCUCUUUUUAAAUGUUUUGAAGAGGUUUACCAAAAUGUACCUGCUUUUCAGUGACAUACCGUUAAGCAUAACUAGCUGGUCUAUUUCUAGCUUUGUGUAAGUAGUUAAUGGUUUUUU